CCCUCGUGUUCCAUGAUUUAACAAGCGAUGACCACUCCACUACCAUUGUCAACUACCUCCUCACAUGAACUGGAAGCCACGUCUCAUGUGGCCCACUCAUCCACUGGCACAUUGAAUGUUUCCUCUCCAAGCACGGUGAGGGAACCCCUGUCAAUUUUUCUCUCAUGACUUUAUGUAGAGUCAAUCACAAUCACAAUCACAUUAUUACACAUCUAUGAUUUGACUCCUUGCUUGGACUAACUCAUUCUUAGCUCUUUUGUCUCACUGUGUAGUGUUUUUGUGUUAUUGUCUUCCCAGUCAAAUCCUGUCCUGCACUGGUCAAGCCUCUGAACAACUCAACUCAUGCCUCAUACCCUCAUUCAAUCACUGCUGUGAUCCCUUCCCAAAAUGGUGCAGCCUGGGAAAGAACUGAAAAAACUCACUAAAGAGUCAAGACAGAGACACCAGAAAGACCCAAGAAGACUUGGACGCAGCAUCAGAGGACAGAGAGGGAUGUUCAGAACUCACUCAGUCUGGUCAGUUGGUGAGGGUAGACUUGGAGGCUGCUUACCUGACAUGGAGGAAGUCCCCCCUCCUCUCCCCU
rnacentral:lncRNA from 1 species